CGCUGGCGGCAUGCUUUACACAUGCAAGUCGAACGGUAACAGGGAGCUUGCUCCGCUGACGAGUGGCGAACGGGUGAGUAAUGCAUCGGAACGUGCCCGAUCGUGGGGGAUAACGCAGCGAAAGCUGCGCUAAUACCGCAUACGAUCUGAGGAUGAAAGCGGGGGACCGUAAGGCCUCGCGCGAUCGGAGCGGCCGAUGUCAGAUUAGGUAGUUGGUGGGGUAAAGGCUCACCAAGCCGACGAUCUGUAGCUGGUCUGAGAGGACGACCAGCCACACUGGGACUGAGACACGGCCCAGACUCCUACGGGAGGCAGCAAGG
rnacentral:rRNA from 1 species